UACGAACCGUCCAAACGUUAUUCGGAUUUAUUGGGCUUAAAGGGUACGUAGGCGGCGCUUCAAGUCGGGUGUGAAAUCCCUCGGCUCAACCGAGGAACUGCGCCCGAUACUGGAGUGCUUGAGGGAGACAGAGGUAAGCGGAACUGAUGGUGGAGCGGUGAAAUGCGUUGAUAUCAUCAGGAACACCGGUGGCGAAAGCGGCUUACUGGGUCUCUUCUGACGCUGAGGUACGAAAGCUAGGGGAGCGAACGGG
rnacentral:rRNA from 1 species